CAGGCAUCGCAAAAUGGAUAGAAUGAGAGAGGGAAGAAAGGGAGUGUCUGGAAGGAGGGAGUAGGGAUGAUGAAAAAGAGGGAGUAGUUGGGAUGUGGAAUUGAGGGGAGGUAUAGGGAGUACGAUGGGAUGGCAGUGUGGGUGAAGGAAGGGGAUGUGUACUGUCACGCCCGGGUACCAGCAGAAGCAUACCCGAUACAUGCACAGACCCGCC
rnacentral:lncRNA from 1 species